rnacentral:rRNA from 1 species
UACGGAGGGGACUAGCGUUGUUCGGAAUUACUGGGCGUAAAGCGCACGUAGGCGGAUUUGUAAGUCAGGGGUGAAAUCCCGGGGCUCAACCUCGGAACUGCCUUUGAUACUGCAAAUCUCGAGUCCGGAAGAGGUGAGUGGAAUUCCUAGUGUAGAGGUGAAAUUCGUAGAUAUUAGGAAGAACACCAGUGGCGAAGGCGGCUCACUGGUCCGGUACUGACGCUGAGGUGCGAAAGCGUGGGGAGCGAUCCGG